rnacentral:lncRNA from 1 species
CUGUUGUGCCAUUUGCUUUCAAAACAUUAUAUAAAAGUGUUUGACGUCCGGACAUCACUUUUGACUUUCGACGGUUUAUUUUUUGAAUUUACGUGUUUAGCUCCCUCUAUGUCAUUUAACAACCAGCGUAUUUACAACGAGUGUUUGAGUUCGUUGGUACGUACAGUACUACAGGUAGCUAGCAGGCGGGUAUCCGACCGCGCGCUAGUAAUACAGUACAGCUGAUCAAUUCCAAUACGCUGCUUUCACGUAAAGUAUAACACACACAGCUCAUAUCAGAUUAUCACCGGCGCCGAUCGAACGCUAGACAGCUACAGACAAGCUUUGAUUGAAAUACGAUAACGAGAUCGAGAUUGGAAAAGGAGCUCGAGGUCACGGACGAUGGCCGACUCGGACUCAGCUAGUGCUAAGCCUAAGGACAAGGCUAAGGCUACGCUAAAUCGGAAUAAGACUAAGUAAGACGGUAAGAGGAAGGAGAAAAACAAGCAAUGGCAGCUCGACCAUCCGGCCCAGAGGAGGCGCGGGAGUGGCUGUGAACAAGGCCAGGGUACGGCGGAGAAACUUCGCGAGCUGCAGGCGGCCUUCUCGUUGCCGAGUCUAGAGGAUGCAAUAGACAUGCCAGCUCACUGAGAGAUAUGAAGAACAGACAACACAAUCCAUCCCCAGCGAAGAAAUUCCAAGCAGCAGUAGGGGAAUUAGCAGGUGAAUAGUACAAGUCACCUUUGACCGCAAAUUCAUGGAGAACUUGGCCUACUCUGCUGAUUUGCUCGCUUCAGGCACACCAGCAUGCUCGAGUGUUUCCACAACCAUAUACUGAUGUAUGCUUCCAAGCGGUAUUCCUUUGACUACCCAGCAAACUGGGCAAGGAAUUUGCUUGCGGUCAUCGACUACAUGGCACACAAGGACAGGCCUGACCAGAUUGAUGUACAAGGCAAUACAAA